UACAGAGACGGCGAGCGUUGUUCGGAUUCAUUGGGCGUAAAGGGUGCGCAGGCGGUCCGGCAAGUCGGAUGUGAAAUUUCCGAGCUUAACUCGGAACGGUCAUUCGAAACUGCCGGGCUCGAGGGCUGGAGAGGAGACUGGAAUUGUCGGUGUAGCGGUGAAAUGCGUAGAUAUCGACAAGAACACCGGUGGCGAAGGCGGGUCUCUGGACAGUUCCUGACGCUCAUGCACGAAAGCCAGGGGAG
rnacentral:rRNA from 1 species